rnacentral:tRNA from 2 species
GCGAGCGUCGUAUAGUGGUUAUUACCUCGGCUUCCCAUGCCGAAGACGUGGGUUCGAUUCCCAUCGCUCGCU